GAAAAGGGGAGGGUCAUCAUGGAGGAGGAACCUUUAAGAGCAUGAAGGAGAGGAUUGUGAAUUAGGAUCCAGGGGAGAGUCACUGCUGUGAGCCUGAGCACACCAGGCACAGCCUGAAGACCACCUCUGCUGUUGGACCCAUCGGUGCCACCAUGUCCUAGAGCAUUUGCUUGGAUGCAUCAGCUGUGUGGACACCUGGCUGUUAACAGGCAGUGCUGGGCUGGAGAUUAGAGAUGUAGGCAGCACCUCAGCAGGACACCAGGGGAGGAAUUCAGGGAGCUGCCAUGGUGUUCAAGUGGUGUGGCGCGAACUCCCUGCAACAGGGUGGAAAAAGGGAUCUCAUCAUCCACCAGGAAGUGGAUGGAAGAGACGUGACACUUCUUGUCAAAUCCCAUCUUCGCAGAGGUCAUGGCAAAAGGUCAGACAAAGCAGCGCUCUGCCCUGGCGAGCGUUUGUCCUACUGCUGCAAUGGCACGAACACGGCACGGGACAGUGGCAAGUGUGAGGAGCAGCUGGUCCUCCUUCUGCAGGCUGCUCCCCCUAACAGCUCCAGUGGUUUUGUCAGUAAUGGCUCACAUGCUGUUUUGCUAUGUGCACAGGUGAUUUUACAUGUUGGUGAUAUUUUACACCACGAGAAUUACUCAGAAGACCAAAGGGUGCUUCAUGUGUCACUCACUGGCUUGGAGGAGCCCCACAUGGAUUUUUGCUGCUUUGGAGUCCCCUUUGAGAACUGGAGGUGUGCAGCCUCUCUGAAGCAUAGGUGUGAGUGUGGAUUUUAAAAAUGUAUUAAAGGAAUCCUGUUGUUUAAAUAUGGACUCAGGUCUGUAGCUGUGCUCUCAAGGUCAGCACGGACUAAAGCAAAGCAAACUAGAAGUGAACAUCAGCUGUGGAACAUAAGAGACUCCCAUGGCCUACUCUGCUGCCACAAAGAUAAGACAGGAGACUAAACGGAUCAGGAACACAGAGAUGAGGGAUUUCCACACCCAGGGAGGGGAAUUCUUCUGGGCUACAGCCUGACACCUGUUCUAUCUGGGGCAUCAGGGUUAGGUUUUGUGUAUCAUUCCCACCACUUCUGCUAUAAGCAACACCAUGGCCAGGCUCUGCAAAGCUGUGGCAUGCAUGCAAGCCUUUCCCCUGCCUUUUCCUUCUCCAGUACUGCCUGUACUGCUGAAAGCUGCUCUUUUUCAGUGUUCAUGGAGAAACCAAACCUGCCGUUUGCAAAGACCCACUCUGCUCCUCUUUUCCCAUUAGUAAACACACAUAACCAGCACUUCGCACCGUUACACCUCCUUGGAGAUGCAGAAAACACAUAGGUUGUUUGUUUUCACAUAUACCUACCUAAUUGAUGGGUUGGGA